rnacentral:misc_RNA from 1 species
GAUGAAGAACGUAGCGAAAUGCGAUACUUGGUGUGAAUUGCAGAAUCCCGUGAACCAUCGAGUCUUUGAACGCAAGUUGCGCCCGAAGCCAUUAGGCCGAGGGCACGCCUGCCUGGGCGUCACACGUCGUUGCCCCCCAUCUACUCCUUCGGGAUUGCGGGGGGCGGAUGAUGGCCUCUCGUGCGCCUCGUCGCGCGGUUGGCCUAAAUGCCAAGUCCUCGGCGACGCACGCCACGACAAUCGGUGGUUGCGAAACCUCGGUUGCCUGUCGUGUGCGGUCGUCGCGCAUCGAGGGCUCGAAAAAAUUGCCGGGCUUCGGCUCGACUUUCAACGCGACCCCAGGUCAGGCGGGGUUACCCGCUGAAUUUAAGCAUAUCAAUAAGCGGAGGA